GGGUGUAUUCUUUGGUUCAUUUCAAAAUCACCUGCUCAUCAAUUCUUUAUGAAGGUCAUGCUCAACACACAAGACUAAGGAAGGUAUGGUACACCGUACACUGGACUAGCUAGAAGGUUUUAAGAGAAGAAGGUAGAUAUUGUACUUAUGUUAGUGAACAAAGCCUGCUAAUGUUUCAUGGAAAAGUUGAGAUCAUGGCUUUGAAAUGGUAUCAUUUCACUCCACC
rnacentral:lncRNA from 1 species